rnacentral:rRNA from 1 species
UUCCUACGGGAGGCAGCAGUGGGGAAUAUUGCACAAUGGGGGAAACCCUGAUGCAGCGACGCCGCGUGAAGGAAGAAGUAUUUCGGUAUGUAAACUUCUAUCAGCAGGGAAGAAAAUGACGGUACCUGACUAAGAAGCCCCGGCUAACUACGUGCCAGCAGCCGCGGUAAUACGUAGGGGGCAAGCGUUAUCCGGAUUUACUGGGUGUAAAGGGAGCGUAGGCGGUGCAGCAAGUCAGAAGUGAAAGCCCGGGGCUCAACUCCGGGACUGCUUUUGAAACUGUAGAACUAGAUUGCAGGAGAGGU